rnacentral:rRNA from 1 species
ACGAACGCUGGCGGCGUGCCUAAUACAUGCAAGUCGAACGAACGGAGGAAGAGCUUGCUCUUCCAAAGUUAGUGGCGGACGGGUGAGUAACACGUGGGCAACCUGCCUGUAAGUUGGGGAUAACUCCGGGAAACCGGGGCUAAUACCGAAUGAUAAARUGUGGCGCAUGCCACGCUUUUGAAAGAUGGUUUCGGCUAUCGCUUACAGAUGGGCCCGCGGUGCAUUAGCUAGUUGGUAGGGUAAUGGCCUACCAAGGCAACGAUGCAUAGCCGACCUGAGAGGGUGAUCGGCCACACUGGGACUGAGACACGGCCCAGACUCCUACGGGAGGCAGCAGUAGGGAAUCUUCCGCAAUGGACGAAAGUCUGACGGAGCAACGCCGCGUGUAUGAAGAAGGUUUUCGGAUCGUAAAGUACUGUUGUUAGAGAAGAACAAGGAUAAGAGUAACUGCUUGUCCCUUGACGGUAUCUAACCAGAAAGCCACGGCUAACU